rnacentral:rRNA from 1 species
UGCAGUCGAACGAUGAAGCCUAGCUUGCUGGGUGGAUUAGUGGCGAACGGGUGAGUAACACGUGAGCAACCUGCCCCUGACUCUGGGAUAAGCGCUGGAAACGGCGUCUAAUACUGGAUAUGUCCCAUCACCGCAUGGUGUGUGGGUGGAAAGAUUUUUCGGUUGGGGAUGGGCUCGCGGCCUAUCAGCUUGUUGGUGAGGUAAUGGCUCACCAAGGCGUCGACGGGUAGCCGGCCUGAGAGGGUGACCGGCCACACUGGGACUGAGACACGGCCCAGACUCCUACGGGAGGCAGCAGUGGGGAAUAUUGCACAAUGGGCGGAAGCCUGAUGCAGCAACGCCGCGUGAGGGAUGACGGCCUUCGGGUUGUAAACCUCUUUUAGCAGGGAAGAAGCGAGAGUGACGGUACCUGCAGAAAAAGCACCGGCUAACUACGUGCCAGCAGCCGCGGUAAUACGUAGGGUGCAAGCGUUAUCCGGAAUUAUUGGGCGUAAAGAGCUCGUAGGCGGUCUGUCGCGUCUGCUGUGAAAUUCCGAGGCUCAACCUCGGGCUUGCAGUGGGUACGGGCAGACUAGAGUGCGGUAGGGGAGAUUGGAAUUCCUGGUGUAGCGGUGGAAUGCGCAGAUAUCAGGAGGAACACCGAUGGCGAAGGCAGAUCUCUGGG